rnacentral:rRNA from 1 species
UACGGAGGGGGCUAGCGUUGUUCGGAAUUACUGGGCGUAAAGCGCACGUAGGCGGCUUUGUAAGUUAGAGGUGAAAGCCCGGGGCUCAACUCCGGAAUUGCCUUUAAGACUGCAUCGCUAGAAUUGUGGAGAGGUAAGUGGAAUUCCGAGUGUAGAGGUGAAAUUCGUAGAUAUUCGGAAGAAUACCAAUGGCGAAGGCAAUGUUCUGGCUCGUUUCUGACGCUCAGGUGCGAAAACCAGGGGAGCGAACGGG